UACGAAGGGGGCUAGCGUUGCUCGGAAUUACUGGGCGUAAAGGGCGCGUAGGCGGGUAUUUAAGUUAGAGGUGAAAGCCCAGGGCUCAACCCUGGAAUAGCCUUUAAUACUGGAUAUCUUGAGUUCGGGAGAGGUGAGUGGAAUGCCGAGUGUAGAGGUGAAAUUCGUAGAUAUUCGGCGGAACACCAGUGGCGAAGGCGACUCACUGGCCCGAUACUGACGCUGAGGCGCGAAAGCGUGGGGAGCAAACAGG
rnacentral:rRNA from 1 species